CCCCUCUCAGGGUCGCACCUGGAGAGUUUCCAGUACUCUACCAGUUCCGACUAAAGGAAGGAGGGUCAGGCAGAGGCAUAUCCAUUCCAUUCUUAGCUUGGGCAGUGGCUAGCGAAUGGAAGGCAAUCUGCCACAAGU